rnacentral:lncRNA from 1 species
UUAUUAUAACCUUUGAAGGCCAUCUACAGGACCUACUGUCACUAACAGUUGUCCAUGCGUCAUGACAUUAUUGACACUGGGUUUUUCCAAUAUACAAGGAAUUAAUUAAAUUCAUUUUUGAGUUAUGCAGCGAGACAAAUACACUGGCUGACCCGCACACGCCUACAAUCACAGUAUCGUAAAAAUGGUACAAUAAACCCUCCUGGAGGUAGGGCUUCUUAUAUGUGACUAUGUUGGUUAGCUGUGUUUUUUUGGAGGGGGUGAGUUGCACACAGGUAUCUUGAGUAUUUCUGCAACCAGGGACCAAAAUAAAUCUGGACUAGAGCCAACAGUUGUCAGAUCACUGAAGAGAUCAAAGGAGAAAUCAGAGCUGGGAGAUCAAACACAAGCAGCUCUACCUCUUUCAGCACACGCCUGAGGAGCUCAACACUCUUGUACCACACUGGUGACCAGCAGACACAUCAAUGGCACAGAGAGGUAUCCAGCAGCUGAAGGCAGAGCAAGAACCGAGGGAAUCAUCAGCGGAAACUUGGAGGGAAGAGGUCCAGCAGCUCAGAGAAGCCCUGGCUGAGAAGGAGGAGCAGCUCAGCAGGGCAGUGAAGAGGAGACAGAUGAGGACUGUGGCCCAUGUGGAGACCCUGACCCUGCUGAACAGCACACACGCUGCUCUGAAGGAGAGCAAACUCAAAUUUGCUUCUCUGGAGGAAACCCUCCACAGUCAGCAGCAGGAGAAAGAGGAGAGACGCAGGAGAGAGCUGAUGAAGCAGGAGGAAGGUCUGAAUCACAAGCUCCUUGUGAUCGAGGAGGAACUUGAGAGGCAGCUGGAGGAAGAGAAGCGGAGGAAUAAUGAAGAGAAAGAGUCAAUAAAGCAGCAGCUGAUGGCUAAAGAAGAAAACUUUAACAAGAUGGUGGCUGAAGUUUGUCAGUGGUUGGAGAGCACAGCUCAGAAAUGGGCACAAAAGAAUGAAGAGCUGGAGCACAGGUUCCAGGAGAGCCUAAGUUUGAGGCAACACAAGGAGGAGAAGAACAAAGAGGAGCUCCUGAGGCUCUCUGAAGCAAUCCUCCAACUUGAGCUUCAAGUGUUAAAGAAGCAGAAGAAAAAAAGCUUCUGGAGAUGGACGUUCUGGAAAAAGAGGAAGCAAACAACAAUUCUAGAGCUCCCAAAGCCCUCCUCCUCCUCCUCACCAUCCUGACCUCCACAGCAUCACAUCCUGUCUUCAGUUUUAUUUUACAAUAUAGUCAUUGCUUAUAUUCUAUGUUUGGAUCUAUGAUGUAGAAACAAUAAAACUCAAAGUAAACCACCAGAUUAUUGUAGAUGUUGUAAAUGACCGCUUUAGAAAUGGCUUCAUCUCAUUACUUGAGUCAGUUGGUUUCCUCCAGCAGAUAAACCAACCAACUCAUAGCUUUAACCACACCUUAGAUCUAGUCCUGACUUAUGGUGUUGAGGUAGAACAUGUGUCAGUGUUCCCUCAGAACCCCCUCCUGUCAGACCAUUCUUUAAUCACGUUUACAUUUAUUAUUAAGGAUUCUUCUAUAUUCAGAACACAGUCUUACUAUAGCAGAUGUCUUUCAGACAAUGCUGUAGCUAAGUUUAAGGAAGUGAUCCCUGUGCUGAUCCCAGGACCACCGUGUGUUUCUCCAGGGAUCAAUCAUUAUAAUCUUAGCCCUGCUGAGGUUGACGCUAUUGCUGAAGGUGCAGCAGCCUCACUGAGAAUCAGUGACAUCAAGUCUUGGAUGUCUUCAAAUUUCCUCCUAGUCCAUGCAUUUUUUACUCCCAGAUUGGACUAUUGUAAUUCUUUAUUAUCAGGGUAUCAAAACCACUCUUUAGAAAGCCCCCAGGUGAUCCAAAAUGCUGCAGCCAGAGUUCUGACAGGUAUAGGGUUAGGGUUGACAAAAGAGAUCACAUGACUCCUGUACUGGCAUGUCUUCAUUGGCUGCCCAUUAAAUUUAGAAUAAUUUUAAAAUUAUUCUUCUGACCUACAAGGUCCUCAGAGGCCUAGCUCUGUCACACCCUGCUCCAGCCCAUGGACUCAGUUCUUUUCCACUCCCCUGCUCACACCACACCCUCUGAUCACACACCUCAAUUAACCUACCAGUAUAUAUUCUCCAGCCUCACACUCACUCGGUGCCAGAUUGUUUCUGCUAUGCAUGACCUUCCAGCGUUUACCUGCCUGUCUUCCCGGAAUCGACCCUGCCUGUUUACGUCCUGCCUGUUCUGCCUGACCCCCGGUAAAUUAACUCUGUCUUCUGUUUUGACCACGAGCUCAGCCAGUCUCCCUCUGGAUUGUUUGCCUGAUUCUGCCUGCCUCCCGGUUACUGACUUUUUGCCUGCCUCGACCAAGUCCGCUGCCCCGCCCUCGAACUGUUCUUUGUUUGCCAGGUUAGUUAAGAAACCUGUUAACGGAUCAUCAGUUUAUUGCCUGUUUUGUACUGCACUUGGGUCCAUACCAUACCCGUCACAAGCUCCA